CCCAACGAAAACAACGUCCAAAAAAACUCUACAUGGAAAAGAACAGAAAAUACUGUGCAUGAUCUGGCUCAGAUUUACCAGAAUUCAGUGAAGCUGAACAAAGAAGGGGAAGGAGAAAUGUCUUCUGUUUCAUUUGAAAAACAAACAAACAAACAAAAAGAUUCUGUAGAGUGAAAUUACCUGAAGACUGGAUCAGUAUCUAAGCAAACUGCCAAGUCUCCAAGACCAGAACGUGGGCACGUGGCAGGAGCUGUAGUCUGCUUUAGUCUGCUUCUACAAUAAAGCCUAUGAAAUGUACUGUCUGUACUACAGGAGCAAUGCUUGCACUGCAAAGGAACCAAUAAACACAAAGAGAAAAGUGAAAUGGGUUUUGUUGCUGCUGUUGGUUUUGUUCUUUCUCACCUCCUCAUCCAGCACUACCAAGCAACAUAUUUGUCUAGCAUGUCUUGCUUGAAGUGAAAUCUGCUACAAUUUCCAUUAUCUACUU